rnacentral:rRNA from 1 species
CCCUUAGAUGUUCUGGGCCGCACGCGCGCUACACUGACGAAUGCAACGAGCUUAUAACCUUGGCCGAAAGGUCUGGGUAAUCUCCAAAUUUCGUCGUGAUGGGGAUAGAUUAUUGCAAUUAUUAAUCUUCAACGAGGAAUGCCUAGUAAGCGCAAGUCAUCAGCUUGCGUUGAUUACGUCCCUGCCCUUUGUACACACCGCCCGUCGCUCCUACCGAUUGAAUGGUCCGGUGAAGCGUUCGGACCGUGGCCUUUGGACGGUUCGCCGUCUGUUGGCUGCGGGAAGUUCGUUAAACCUUAUCAUUUAGAGGAAGGAGAUGUCGUAACA